GUCGAACGGACUUAACUCAUUCUUUUAGAUUGAGAGCGGUUAGUGGCGGACUGGUGAGUAACACGUAAGCAACCUGCCUAUCAGAGGGGAAUAACAGUGAGAAAUCAUUGCUAAUACCGCAUAAGCUAGUAGUAUCGCAUGAUAUAGCUAGAAAAGGAGCAAUCCGCUGAUAGAUGGGCUUGCGUCUGAUUAGCUAGUUGGUGGGGUAACGGCCUACCAAGGCGACGAUCAGUAGCCGGACUGAGAGGUUGAACGGCCACAUUGGGACUGAGAUACGGCCCAGACUCCUACGGGAGGCAGCAGUCGGGAAUAUUGCGCAAUGGAGGAAACUCUGACGCAGUGACGCCGCGUAUAGGAAGAAGGUUUUCGGAUUGUAAACUAUUGUCGUGAGGGAAGAAAUUGACAGUACCUCAGGAGGAAGCUCCGGCUAACUAUGUGCCAGCAGCCGCGGUAAUACAUAGGGAGCAAGCGUUAUCCGGAUUUAUUGGGUGUAAAGGGUGCGUAGACGGGAAAUUAAGUUAGUUGUGAAAUCCCUCGGCUUAACUGAGGAACUGCAACUAAAACUGAUUUUCUUGAGUACUGGAGAGGAAAGUGGAAUUCCUAGUGUAGCGGUGAAAUGCGUAGAUAUUAGGAGGAACACCAGUGGCGAAGGCGACUUUCUGGACAGUAACUGACGUUGAGGCACGAAAGUGUGGGGAGCAAACAGGAUUAGAUACCCUGGUAGUCCACACUGUAAACGAUGGAUACUAGGUGUAGGAUGUAUUAAGCAUUCUGUGCC
rnacentral:rRNA from 1 species